rnacentral:lncRNA from 1 species
GUAUGUUCCAGACCGUAUGAGUAUUUGGACCGUACGCGUACGGUCUGGACCGUAUGCGUACUUUUUCAAUAUACGCAUACGGUCGGACCGUACGCGUACGGUCUGACUAAUAUUAAGAAUUUGGUCAAGUUUAUUAGAUACAAAUGUAUAUAACAGAUCAACAUAACUUAUAUCUCAAAUUAACAUGAAAAGUUGAAUAGUUAUUGAAAUAAAAACUUAAUAUUUUAACUAUUUGUAAAAAAUCAGGCUUAUUUAAUCUGUUAAUCUCCUGUACUUAGCAUGUCAGUAAUUCAUUAAUUACAGCCCAGUAUGCUCAUUGAAAUUGAAGUUAUCGGAAGUAAACAUAAUGUGGGAGGACAAUUGUUUUUAGAAUAUUUAGGAACUUUACAAAAAAUGCAUAUGCAAAAGAACAUGCAUAAACAAAACAUGUUAAUGUUAAAAAUAUAUGACGUUCCUUGUGGAAGCAAGUGUCAUCUUGGGCCAGAGUAACAAAAUAGGAUUCACGGAUAUAAAAUUAAACAAAAUUUAAUAUUUAAUUUUUAUUGUUCGCUUAUUCACUUUAUCCAUCUAAUUGUAAUAAUAACAAUUUGUAUAACUAAAAGUAAAGAUUUUGAUAAAUGUUUCUUAACAUUUAACCCAUAUGAUCCCAAAACAUGUAUGGUCAGCUGGACCGUACGCGUAUACUCAUACGGUCCGACCGUACGCGUAUGGUCGGACCGUACGAGUAUACGUAUACGGUCCGGACCGUACGCGUACGGUCCAAAUACUC